rnacentral:rRNA from 1 species
UACGGAGGGGGCUAGCGUUAUUCGGAAUUAUUGGGCGUAUAGGGCGUGUAGGCGGCUUCGUGUGUCUCAUGUGAAAGCCCUCGGCUCAACCGGGGAAUUGCAUGAGAAACUGCGGAGCUUGAGUCCGGGAGAGGAGAGUGGAAUUCCCAGUGUAGCGGUGAAAUGCGUAGAUAUUGGGAGGAACCCCAGUGGCGAAGGCGGCUCUCUGGACCGGUACUGACGCUGAGACGCGAAAGCCAGGGGAGCAAACGGG